AUCAUGGGCUCCACCUUUCAGCCCCUACAACUGAGCCUGGUUCGGGGCAGGUAGUGAGACUGACUCCGAGCCAGGCACGCACCCUGCCAAGCACCUCCACGUGGUGCCUCCUUUUAUUCCCACAAGGCUACAGGAUAGGUGGAAUUGGAAUGAGGAGCCCUGUUUUACAGAGAAGGAAACCGAAGCUCCUGUGCUGACGGUCAGUUAGUUACAAAGGUCUUAAUCCAAAACUCUGAACCAUUUUGUUAAUUUAUCUUUCAGUAACAGUUCAAUUAAGUUAGACAAAUAUCCCAAAAAGCUCUUAGCUGGCCCUCAAGGCACUUGAGUUCACAGCCCAGAAGAAAGGAAGUAAAGACACGGUAAGGUAACUUUUCUUUGUUUCAGACUCAUUAUGUCAGAGAUUAAGAGAGAGCUCUUCAAAAUUGUUGGAUCCAACCCCCCACUAUAAAGUUGGAGUAACUGAGGCCCAGUGAGGGCAAUGGCUGGUCUGAGGUCACAAGUGAGGGAGGGACGAGACCAGACUCUCUCACCUGCCUGUUGCUGUCUUCACAGCUAUGAAAACAAACACAUGCGCCGCGCACGGUGGCUCACGCCUGUAAUCCCAGCACUUUGGGAGGCCAAGGCGGGUGGAUCACCUGAGAUCAGGAGUUCGAGACCAGCCUGACCAACAUGGAGAAACUCCAUCUCUAUUAAAAAUACAAAAUUAGCCAGGUGUGGUAGCACAUGUCUGUAAUCCCAGCUACUCGGGAAGCUGAGGCAGGAGAAUCGCUUGAACCCGGGAGGCAGAGGUGGCAGUGAGCCAAAUUCAUGCCAUUGCACUCCAGCCUGGGCAACAAGAGCGAAAGUCCAUCUCAAAAAAAAAAAAAAAGAAGAAAAAGAAAAGAAAGAAAAGAAAACAAACACGCGCUAACCUGCAAUAAACUAGUCUGGUCAGCCAGGGUAGGGAGAAGUGCCCUUUGGCCAGCAGCCAGCCCCAUGCCAUGGUCACUGGACAAUCUUAGACCAAAGCCACAGACCAGAAGUAGGGCAGCGGGGGAGGGAAGGCAGAGGAACUGCAGUUGCGCCUACUUGCUUAUCAGUGACCUGCAUGAAGGAAACUUUCCAUGCACCUCUCCAGAUCAAGAUCACAUCGGGCACCCUUGCAUAGUUCAAAAGAGGAAGUUUGGGCUUGGUUGAAAUGGAUGAAGAGCAUACAGAAAUGUCCAGACAGCGAGAGGGGAUGAGGGGGAACCUGAGGGAAAGGGGCUGGCCUAAGGUCAGAAACAAGUGCAUGGCAGAUGCAGAUUUGAACCCAGGCAUCCAAAUUCCUGGUCCAGUACUCUAGCGCGGCCUGGAUGGAGAUGGGUGGUGAAAUGGAUGGGAAGAUUUGUCAGUUUGCCCCAGCACAUUUACUAUCCUUCCCACCACCCCGCCCAGCACAUUCAACUGGCCCCUGCCACCAACCCCCUCAUUCAAAGUACAGACACUACUCAUUUUACAGACAGAGGUUCAGGAUGUUUUUGGAUCUGACAUAGCCCAAACCAGGGCAGAGGCUGUAGCAAGGGGAGGAAGCUGGGAAAGCCUGAGGGUCAGAGGGGACUGGAACAAUCAGGCUUGGCCAUGGCGGCUGGUGCUGAUAACCAUUUCUUGGCAG
rnacentral:lncRNA from 10 species